rnacentral:lncRNA from 1 species
ACCAUUGUAAUCAUUUUCGGGCAAUUCCGAGCCGGUGCUUUCGGGCCCCAAAAUCGUAGGUAUACCCCUUUGGUCUUAGGAGCCCUGUGUGAAGCCCUAUUCCGGAGCCGAUAUCUUCUGUACGCCUGACAGGGAGCUCCUAUAGGCUCAUCUAGGGGAUACUUUAGGGUCUUAUGGUCCAAUCGGUAUGCCUAUCUCGGCUGUUAGAUGCUUCAUUAAGGAUUGCAAACUCAAUAUAAAUUAAUGCGCAAAAUCGGUGCCACUCCGGAGGCAUUUGGA